CCAAUAGCGUAUAUUAAAGUUGUUGCAGUUAAAAAGCUCGUAGUUGAAUUUCGGGAUCAAUAUAUCGGUCGUGCCUUGGUACGUACUGGUAUCAUUGGUUUCUCCUUUCUGACGAACCAUGAUGUCAUUAAUUUGGUGUUAUGGGAAGUUAGGACUGUUACUUUGAAAAAAUUAGAGUGUUUAAAGCAGGCUUUAGCUUGAAUACAUUAGCAUGGAAUAAUGAAAUAGGACGUUCGAACCUAUUUUGUUGGUUUCUAGGAUCAACGUAAUGAUUAAUAGGGAUAGUUGGGGGCAUUAGUAUUCAAUUGUCAGAGGUGAAAUUCUUGGAUUUAUUGAAGACUAACUACUGCGAAAGCAUUUGCCAAGGAUGUUUUCAUUAAUCAAGAACGAAAGUUAGGGGAUCGAAGACGAUCAGAUACCGUCGUAGUCUUAACCAUAAACUAUGCCGACUAGGGAUCGGAUGAUGUUAAUUUUUUAAUGACUCAUUCGGCGCCUUACG
rnacentral:sRNA from 2 species